rnacentral:rRNA from 1 species
CCUACGGGUGGCAGCAGUUAGGGAUCUUGUGCAAUGGGGGAAACCCUGACACAGCAACGCCGCGUGAGGGAUGAAGGCCUUCGGGUCGUAAACCUCUUUUCUGAGGGAAGAAACCUGACGGUACCUCAGGAAUAAGCAACGGCUAACUACGUGCCAGCAGCCGCGGUAAUACGUAGGUUGCGAGCGUUGUCCGGAAUCACUGGGCGUAAAGCGCACGCAGGCGGCUUCGGAAGUCCAAGGUGAAAGCCCAGGGCCCAACCCAGGGAGGCCCUUGGAAACUCCGGAGCUCGAAGACUGGAGAGGCGGAUGGAAUUUCCGGUGUAGCGGUAAAAUGCGUAGAUACCGGAAGGAACACCAGUGGCGAAAGCGAUCCGCUGGCCAGCUCUUGACGCUCAGGUGCGAAAGCUAGGGGAGCGACCGGGAUUAGAUACCCCUGUAGU